rnacentral:lncRNA from 1 species
AAAGAGUGCAAUUAAUCAAAGGACAAUAAAAUGACAAAGCAAAAACCACUUUACAAUUACUAAUCACACUAAAUCAGUCCCAAUUUGAAGAGAUAAAGAGCCGACUUUUAGCACUAGACAAUUUCCAAAAAUCAGAUUUGGCUAAGUUAGAUGGGCAUUGUUUUAAGACGAAUCCAUUCGGGCUGAAUCGAAGAGAAGCGGCUCAGUCAUGAAACUUGAUAACUCGCAAAUACUGGGUUAAAUAACCCGGUGGUGCUGGUGGUAAUGAGUCGAAUGAAAUGGGUAGGAGAAGAGUGGUGUAAGGGUUUGUAAUUUAAGGUUUCAAAAACUUCUAUUUCUGAAGGAGCCAUUAGAAAAUAUUAAAGAUACUUCAAGAAUCAACGAUGCCGAAGUUGGUCUUUGAUUCUAAAGGAUAUCAAUAUUGUGCUUAAGCCAUGCCUGUCAAUUAUUUGCGGGAAUACUGUGCGGCGUAGAAAUCGCCAAUAGAGCUCAAGCACCAGUGAAGUCUUCAAUUUCUUGGCAAAUACCCCAAGCAGCGAGAUAAAUGCAGAAAGUCAAAAGAAAACGAAAGAGAGUUAGGAAUCCUUUUGUAGCGACGAUGACGGUGGCCUGAGGGAGAGAUGGGUGGAGUAGAAAAGCAAGCAUUAGAGAUGCGAGAAU